GGCCGUGGCUCAGAGGUACGGUGUCCGCUCGGCAUGCGGAAGGUCUUGAGUUCAAUCCUUGGCAUUGCCA
rnacentral:tRNA from 1 species